ACACUGUAGAAUGGCUUUGGACAAGCUGGGCCUCCCUGGACUCUUAGAGGGUCACUUGCAAGGAACCCCCAGAGAAGUUAGACGCUUGUGAGAACCAGCGCAGUGCUGCUCACCUCUGCCCUAAGGACUCUCCUGUCUUCUUCCCAUUCUCUGUCCAGCAUCCUGCAGUGUCUCAUCCUAGCUUCAAGAAGACUGAAAUACCAAGCACAUUAGUGAACUCCUUGAACCUGGCUGGCUCCCUAGCGAUUGUGCCCGAUGUCACCACCCUUGUGCAAGUCUGAAGAAGGAAGGAAAGCAGUGGGCAGUAUAGGAAGACAAGAAGUGGGCUCUCGUGAACCUUUAGCAAGGAAGAAAUGGAGGAUCAGGAGGGUAUGUGUCUUCAGCCCAGAUUCCACAGCCUAGCUCUGAGGUACAGGGCACACAGGUCACCAGAUGAAAAGCACAGGCACAAAGAAGAACUAGUCAAGGCCAACACUGAACCGGAAAGAAUAUUUUUACAACAGAAAAGGAUGGACAGUAUACCUUUUGUCCAUAUGCAAGAAAUCAUCUCAUCUCUUCUGUGGUAGCAUAAACUGGGACUAACAACACUUUCCUUAACAAUUUCCAUCUCUUAUAGUUGCUGUUCUCAGCUAAGCCACUGUAAAGGUCAAUCAGCAUAAGAACCUUCUAAGCACCAUCAUAAAGAGAGACACUGGGCAGUACAUGGUUCCUCAGGGGUGGUUUUAAUUCACCAAUUUGUGAGGUUGGAAAACCCUGCUAGUAACUGGCAACAGCAGCUUCAUGUCCAUAGGAAAGCACCAAAGUUGUAAAGCUUAAAAGUAAAAAGUAAUACUGAAAUUGUUCACAGGUGUUAAAGCAUAGGACACUAUCUUGGCUGCUGGAUGUGAAUGAUUUUGGAGCGCCACUUCUGGUUUCCCUACAGGGAAAAGAAACAAUUUCUAAUCGAAAUGUCCAAUUCCACAAAUCAAAAAACAAAUGUGUACUAAUGCUCCUCUUGCAUUCCAGCACUGUGCUGGAUGCUAUAGCUACAACAAUGAGCAAGAGAUUCUGGGGGAAGGGAUCCUGUUUCUGUGGCAAGAGUGCUAGGUUGGUAACUUUAAAAAUUCUUCUUUGCCAAAGCUCGUAGAAAUAGUGGCAAUACAGCAAUAUCCUUUUAAUUACACAGCUGAGCUAGCAAGAAAGUAAGGAAGAUCCUUAGGAGUCAAAAAUGUUGAAGGGAACUAGAAAGUACAAUGGUAAAUGAGGUCAGUCCUUUUCAGUUGCCCUGGAAAAAGGGGCUGUUUAUUGCUCUUGGACCCAACUGAAAACAGGGAAUUAAAACAGCCCCAAUAUAAAAUGAGGACCCUCAAAAAGAUAGAGUGGACUAGGAAUAAAUUAGCCUAUUGGCCACACACUGACAGGAAGAAAGCUCUGAAUUGAGAGGAAGAAAACAUCUGCUUUCAUCAUCUGUAACCAUCAGUCGUGUCUUUCCAUAAGUUAAUUUGAAAUUUGAAUUGUACUAUUACAUGGUCUGAAAAUCCCCAAGGAUAAAUUGAACACAAAAAGUGGCUUCAGGCUUGCAAUAACGCUGUGACAUUUGGCAGAAGAAAUACAAAACUCUGAAGAGACCCACCCUCAAUUGGGGCAUGAUUUCCAUAAAUAAAGCUCUGUUGAAGAUGAGCUCACAAUAGAAAAUUCACAAAAGAAAAACUUACACAGAAAUAAGCCAUCGCAAACAAGACUUGGGAAAUCCAACAAA